GCACUUUAAGUUGGGAGGAAGGGCAGUAAGUUAAUACCUUGCUGUUUUGACGUUACCGACAGAAUAAGCACCGGCUAACUUCGUGCCAGCAGCCGCGGUAAUACGGAGGAUCCAAGCGUUAUCCGGAUUUAUUGGGUUUAAAGGGUGCGUAGGCGGCCUAUUAAGUCAGGGGUGAAAGACGGUGGCUCAACCAUCGCAGUGCCUUUGAUACUGAUGGGCUUGAAUGAACCUGAGGUAGGCGGAAUGUGACAAGUAGCGGUGAAAUGCAUAGAUAUGUCACAGAACACCAAUUGCGAAGGCAGCUUACUAAAGUUUAAUUGACGCUGAGGCACGAAAGCGUGGGGAUCGAACAGGAUUAGAUACCCUGGUAGUCCACGCCCUAAACGAUGAUGACUCGGUGUCGGCGAUAGAAUGCCGGCGCCCAAGCGAAAGCGUUAAGUCAUCCACCUGGGGAGUACGCCCGCAAGGGUGAAACUCAAAGGAAUUGACGGGGGCCCGCACAAGCGGAGGAGCAUGUGGUUUAAUUCGAUGAUACGCGAGGAACCUUACCUGGGCUAGAAUGUUAGCGCGCCGUCCGGAGACGGGCGGGCCCGCAAGGGCGCGAAACAAGGUGCUGCAUG
rnacentral:rRNA from 1 species